GGUUGCGUAUGGUGGCUAGCAAGUUUACCUUGAAAAAAUUAGAGUGCUCAAUGCGGGCUAAUGCCUGAAUACUCGUGCAUGGAAUAAUGAAAUAGGAUCUCGGUUCUAUUUUGUUGGUUUUCUGAUCUGAGAUAAUGGUUAAGAGGGACGGACGGGGGCAUUCGUAUCGCUGCGUGAGAGGUGAAAUUCUUGGACCGUAGCGAGACGUCCGACUGCGAAAGCAUUUGCCAAGAAUGUCUUCAUUAAUCAAGAACGAAAGUCAGAGGUUCGAAGGCGAUCAGAUACCGCCCUAGUUCUGACCGUAAACGAUACCAACUAGCGUUCCGUCG
rnacentral:rRNA from 1 species